AAUUAAGAGUUUGAUCCUAGCUCAGGAUGAACGCUGGCGGCGUGGAUAAGGCAUGCAAGUCGAGUGGGUUUAGACCCACGGCAGACGAGGUAGUAACACGUAGGUACGUACCCCAGAGUCGGGCAUAAUUCGCCGAAAGGUGAGCUAAUUCCCGAUGGCGUGGAAACACUAAAAGAGCAAUCUGCUCUGGGAACGGCCUGCGGGCUAUCAGCUAGUUGGUAGGGUAAUGGCCUACCAAGGCUUUGACGGCUAGGGGAGCUGAGAGGCUGACCCCCACCGAUGGUACUGAGACACGGACCAUACUCCUACGGGAGGCCGCAGUCGAGAAUCUUCCGCAAUGGGCGAAAGCCUGACGGAGCGACGCCGCGUGGUUGAUGAAGUCCCUUUGGGACGUAAAAACCUUUUAUCGGGGAGAAAGUUUAUUGAUAGUACCCGAAGAAUAAGGGGCCUCUAAACUCGUGCCAGCAGAGGCGGUAAUACGAGUGCCCCAAGCGUUAUCCGGAAUUACUGGGCGUAAAGGGUGUGUAGGCGGUUCUAUUAGUCCCCUGUUAAAUUCCUCGGCUUAACCGAGGGCCCGCGGGGGAAACGGUAGAACUGGAGGAUGUGAGAGGUCUAUGGAACUCAUGGUGUAGGGGUGAAAUCCGUUGAUAUCAUGGGGAACACCAAAAGCGAAGGCAAUAGACUGGCGCAUUCCUGACGCUGAGACACGAAAGCGUGGGUAGCGAACGGGAUUAGAUACCCCGGUAGUCCACGCCCUAAACGAUCUUGACUAGCUUUUCGGAGUAUCGACCCUCUGAGAGGCGAAGCUAACGCGUUAAGUCAAGCGCCUGGGUAGUACGAGCGCAAGCUUAAAACUCAAAGGAAUAGACGGGGACUUGCACAAGCAGUGGAUUAUGUGGUUUAAUUCGAUGGUAAACGAAGAACCUUACCCAGGUUUGAAACCCUAAUGAAUCCAGUUGGAAACAGCUGGAGUCCGCAAGGACAUUAGGGCAGGUGCUGCAUGGCCGUCGUCAGUUCGUGGUUUGAGCUGUUCCCUUAAGUGGGGUAACGAACGCAACCCUCGUCGUCUGUUACAAGUGUCAGACGAGACCGCC
rnacentral:rRNA from 15 species